rnacentral:rRNA from 1 species
GAUGAACGCUGGCGGCGUGCCUAACACAUGCAAGUCGAGCGAACGGACGCGAAGCUUGCUUUUCUGAUGUUAGCGGCGGACGGGUGAGUAACACGUGGAUACCCUACCUAUAAGACUGGGAUAACUUCGGGAAACCGGCGCUAAUACCGUAUAAUAUUUUGAACCGUAUGGUUCAAAAGUGAAAGACGGUCUUGGUGUCACUUAUAGAUGGAUCCGCGCUGCUUUAGCUAGUUGGUAAGGUACCGGCUUACCAAGGCAACGAUGCCUAGCCGACCGGAGAGGGUGGUCGGCCACACUGGAGCUGAGACGCGGACCAGGCUCCUACGGGAGGCACCAGUAGGGUAUCUUCCGCAGUGGGCGGAAACCUUGCGCAGCAGCCCCGCGUGAGUUAUGAAGGUCUUCGGUGCGUAAAGCUCUGUUAUUAGUUGAGAACAUAUUUGUAAGUAACUGUGCACAUCGUGACGGUACCUAGUCAGAAAGCCCCGGCUAACUACGUG